rnacentral:rRNA from 1 species
GACGAACGCUGGCGGCGUGCCUAAUACAUGCAAGUCGAACGCAGUGGGGACGGGUGAGUAACAAGUGGGUAACCUCCCAUCAGAGGGGAUAACACUUGGAAACAGGUGCUAAACCGAUACUGAUGGAUGGACCCGCGGGGCAUUAGCUAGGUGGGGGGGUAACGGCUCACCAAGGCCACGAUGCAGAGCAGACCUGAGAGGGUGAUCGGCCACACUGGGACUGAGACACGGCCCAGACUCCUACGGGAGGCAGCAGUGGGGAAUAUUGCACAAUGGGCGCAAGCUUGAUGCAGCCAUGCCGCGUGUAUGAAGAAGGCCUUCGGGUUGUAAAGUACUUUCAGCUGGGAGGCGUUACCCGCAGAAGAAGCACCGGCUAACUCCGUGCCAGCAGCCGCGGUAAUAC